rnacentral:pre_miRNA from 1 species
UUGUGUUUAAAGGGAUAAAAGCCCUAUGGCAGCGGAAUAAUUUAAAGAACUGUUUCUCAAAUUAAUUUGAGAAACAGUUCUUUAAAUUAUUCCGCUGCCAUAGGGCUUUUAUCCCUUUAAACACAA